rnacentral:rRNA from 1 species
GAUGAACGCUAGCGAUAGGCUUAACACAUGCAAGUCGAGGGGCAGCAUGGUCUUAGCUUGCUAAGACUGAUGGCGACCGGCGCACGGGUGCGUAACGCGUAUGCAACUUGCCUCACAGAGGGGGAUAACCCGUCGAAAGACGGACUAAUACCGCGUACACUCCAUCUUGGGCAUCCAAGGUAGAGGAAAUGAAAUUCGCUGUGAGCGAGGCAUGCGUCCCAUUAGCUAGUUGGUGAGGUAACGGCUCACCAAGGCGACGAUGGGUAGGGGAACUGAGCGGUUGAACCCCCACACUGGUACUGAGACACGGACCAGACUCCUACGGGAGGCAGCAGUGAGGAAUAUUGGUCAAUGGGCGAGAGCCUGAACCAGCCAAGUCGCGUGAAGGAUGACUGUCUUAUGGAUUGUAAACUUCUUUUAUACGGGAAUAACAAGAGUCACGUGUGACUCCCUGCAUGUACCGUAUGAAUAAGCAUCGGCUAACUCCGUG